rnacentral:lncRNA from 1 species
UUGUCACGGCUUGGCUUGUGAGGCUUCCCUGCCAACACUCUCCAAACCAUUCUAGCCAUGCUCUCUUCCUUAGGGACAUCGUAUAGAAUAGGGAUGGAUGAUUCCUCUAAAUCCUUAAGACCAAGCGCUUGUCCAAUUUCCUUGAAGGUCAUGUUGUAAACUUUUCCAUGUACCUUGAACUUGAUCCACCUCGUUUGUCUCUAAUCUCAAGGUCAAACUCUUGUAGCAGCAAGAUCCACCUCAACAGCCUCGGCUUAGCAUCCUUCUUGGCCAUGAGGUGUCUCAAU